GCCGGAGGGUCCCGCGCGCCCGGCCGAGACGGACCCGGCGCGGGCAUGGAGGACGGCGGCCAGCGCGCGGCGGGGGCAGGAGGCGGCGCGGCCGGGCCCCCCGCACCCUAGUCCUCGGCGGGAGGACGCGGGCCACCGAGCUACCCAGCCCGGCCCGGCCCCGACCCGCCCACACGCGUCGCGGCCGAUGGCCGAUUGCACAGAACCUCACCAAACGGGUCCUCUUCGUCGGGCUCGAGAAAAAAAAAAAAGCAUUUGACUGCGGCAGACCUGUUGCCUCACGUUGGCCGGGGUGGGGGAAGCAGAAAGGAAAAAUUCUGCAGCAGGGACUUGAGUGGCCCCGAUCAGCAAGGCGUGGCCCCCCAAGGCCAGGACCGCACGGGAGAACCUCCUCUAGACGGGCUUGGACGGUCCUGGAGGCCCCGGGCGCGCUGCUCCUCGUGUUCCAGGACGGCCAGGCUGGGCCCCGAGGGGAGCCGGGAAGGACCCCAGGCCCACAGCCGCCCUGCCACUGGCUGCUCGCGGCCCCCAGUGCUCCGAGUUCCUGGCCCUGAAAACCGCAGGGGUCUGGUCAGCCCCAGGGACCGAGUGGCCCAGUGUCACACGGCCUGCCCUCCUUGGCCGUCCAGCUGGAGGCCGGGUCCUGGGUGAAAAGCUCUGCCUGCCCGACCCGGGGGACCGAGGCCAGACGCGGCCACCAUAUACCCCCUGCUGUUUCCCACACACAGGGUGUGCUGGCUGACGACCUUGCGCCAAGUGUCCUGGGCUCCCCGGGCCCCGGGCCCCUCCUGCACCCCGUCCCUCUCCACCCAGGACCACUUCUGGGAGCCUGGCAGCCUGCUGACCCCAUCCGCAGAUCUGUGGGGACAGCCUGCGAGGGCCCCACGGGGCUGCCUGAGCGGGGAGGACGAGGGGCCUCCUUGGGGCUGAUCCACAGAUGUGCCCCCUCAAGCCCAGGUCUCACCCUCGGGGUGACCUCUCCAGCUGCAGCCGUGUGGGGCCUAGGACACCUCUUCCCAACAGGGAGAGGUGUGGGGGGAGCCUCAGGGAUGCCCGGGUCUCCCCCUCCCCGAGGGCACAGAACUCUCUCCGGGGCCCCCGGGACUGGGGGGGGGGGCGCACAUCCUCAGCAUGUGUUCUUGCCUCUGCUUUUCUGACCAUUUUGGCCUUGAGUAGUUAGCGUGCUUCCUGCCACCGCCUCCCUCUUCCCCCGACGGGCCCCAGCUGCCUGGGGGCUCUCAGUGCACUUUACUGAUUUGCAGUCUGUUUCCCAGGCAGCGAAGCUUCCACGAAAUCAGAGACACGAGCUCAAAAGGAUGAGUGUCACUUUCCUGCGUGUCAUUAACUGUACCGGACAGCGCCGUCUGCUGAGACCUGUUCUUGUUUCUGGUUUUGUCCACUCUUGUCACUCUAAGUUAAAAAAAUACACAGCUCGCGAUCAAUAAAAUACAAUCAACCCGGAG